rnacentral:rRNA from 1 species
GACGAACACUGGCGACGUGCUUUCGUAUGCAAGUAGAACGGGCUCCUUCGGGAGCUAGUUGCGAACGGCUGAGUAAUAGAUAGGAACCUACCCUUUAGUGAGGAAUACCUCGGAGAAAUCCGGGUUAAUACCGCAUGAGACCUACGGGUGAAAGGGCGUAACUGCCCGCUAAUGGAUGGGCCUAUUUUCUAUCAGUUAGUUGGUGUGGUGAUGGCGCACCAAGACUGCGACGGAUAGGGGGCGUGAGAGCGUGAUCCCCCAGAAUGGUACUGAGACACGGACCAUACACCUNACGGGUGGCGCAACCAGGAAUCGUGCGCAAUGGGCGAAAGCCUGACGCCGCGACGUCGUGUGAGGGAUGAAGGCCUAUGGGUUGUAAACCUCUUUUAGUUGAGUCGAGAGGCUCUUCAGAAUAAGCACCGCUAA